AUUGAACGCUGGCGGCAUGCCUUACACAUGCAAGUCGAACGGUAACGCGGGGCAACCUGGCGACGAGUGGCGAACGGGUGAGUAAUGUAUCGGAACGUGCCCAGUUGUGGGGGAUAACUGCUCGAAAGAGCAGCUAAUACCGCAUACGACCUGAGGGUGAAAGCGGGGGAUCGCAAGACCUCGCGCAAUUGGAGCGGCCGAUAUCAGAUUAGGUAGUUGGUGGGGUAAAGGCUCACCAAGCCGACGAUCUGUAGCUGGUCUGAGAGGACGACCAGCCACACUGGGACUGAGACACGGCCCAGACUCCUACGGGAGGCAGCAGUGGGGAAUUUUGGACAAUGGGCGCAAGCCUGAUCCAGCCAUGCCGCGUGCGGGAAGAAGGCCUUCGGGUUGUAAACCGCUUUUGUCAGGGAAGAAAAGGCUCCUGUUAAUACCGGGGGCUCAUGACGGUACCUGAAGAAUAAGCACCGGCUAACUACGUGCCAGCCGCCGCCGUAA
rnacentral:rRNA from 1 species